CUGGGUCAGGGAAGAGGCGAGAGAAAAGCACCCAGAGAAAGCCCCUUUGCCUUCCCCUGAAGACCAUCUGAGGCAGCGCUCCCCAUCAGUGGGAACUGAAACCUCUAGCCUCAGGGUUCCAGCUAUCACCCGGAUCAGGUCCACACGCAAAGAACCAAGCAGAAAGGAAAACUGAAAGUGAGAUGUGGCAAGGCGAUACGGCAGCCCGUCCUGUCCCAGGCUCAGUUCCUUAGAGAGAGAACGCGAGCCUGCACAGGAGGCAGGAAAGGUACUCUGCCUGACACCACUAAGACUCGUGGAAGCCAGACUCAGAGGCAGAUGCGUCCUGAGGAAGUCGGAUGGAGCAUCCUCGGGCUCAGCCUUGUCACCGGAUGAAAUCCCAGUCUCGGCGCUCUCCGUGUUCCAGGCCUGACCAUGAGGUCUCCUCAACAUCCUGCUUAUUCCUUCACGAAGACUUUCACUGAGACGGAUGUGGCUCCUGGAGAGUAUGCCCACGUGUGAUCUGGCGGCAGAGGACAGAGCACACAGCUCUCCCUCACUCGGCCCUGGAUACCUCGACCCUGCGAACAACCCUCAUGACAUGUUGUGAGCUUUUAUCAACAGAUCCCCAAGGAGUUUUCGCACAUGUGGCUACAUGCUACCUCCCCCCACUGUGUGCAAACCCUCCACUGUUCCUCCCAUGACGUCCCUUCGCUGAGGCCUCCUCGCGCUAUAAAACCCUAUUGUUUAGUACUGUGCUGCAUGUUACGUGUCGUGCGCAGCUGAGUUUUUCCUGAUCAAGCAGGAUUUUACAUGUAUUCAUAUUUGAUUCCAGAACCGCUUUCUGCGAGGGCACCCCUGGAGCUUCUGAGGCACAACCACAAAGCCCGCUGCGCGCUUCACUACCCUCCGCUGUCAAGGCUGACACUGCGUGAACAGCUGCUCCAUGCCAGGCUGUGCCCAAAAGCUUUCAUGCACCACCUCAUCUGCUCCCUGCGACAGCCCCGCCAGCUCUCAACGGGUCCCGAGCAUCUACCUGUGCUUUGGACAGAGACUCUCGCAAGCUCCACAGCAAGAAAGAGCUCAUCGUGAACUCGAAGGGGCAGUCUUCUGCUGCUGCCCUUGUGAAGACGGAGCUCCUCCUGGGCUUGUCGCCCUUCUCUGGGGAAGCUGACAUGCUCCAGGUUUCUAGGACUCUGGGCAGUCAUCUUGGAAAGGAGGAGAGGAAAGACGGUGCUGCCACUGACCUUGAUGCUGGAGCUCAGCUCUGUCAUGGAGACAGUGCCAAGAGCUGGGCUGGGCCAUUUGUUGAAGGAAGGGUUGAUGAUGCAGAGUCCGAACUAACAGUGAGAGCCUGGGGCUAAUGCCUGAUGGAAAAAGGUGGUAUAGGUUCUGCUCGUGCGAUAAGCGGCUCGGGAAGACUUGGAGGGUUUUAUGGAAUCAUUAGCACAGAGCUCCCCUCUGGCCACAGAGCAGAGGAAGGAACAGCAGACCAGUUUAUAAAGCUCCAGAGCGGAAAAUUUC